AGAGGUUGGAAGCAUUAUGUUUCAAUCUAUGGCAGAAAUAUCACUUGCAACCAAAUACUGAAAAGUAAAUUACUUGAGGCCCCAGAUCCACUACUAAUACAACUUGACCCAAGUGCAUUUCCCCUUUCCCUCUCCUCCCUCCCUUCCUUUCUUCUUCCCAUCCAUCUAUCCAUUUAGCUAGCCAGCAUGUUUGUUUUUUUUUUUUUUCCAAAGGGGGAGGCUGGCAUUUAUUAAAAGACAGAGCACAUAAUUUUUAGGUUAGUCUCAAUUUGGCUGAAGAAAAUGACUGGUCUGUUGCUAUCAGUGUCCUGUAUCAGCUCCUGGCUCUCAUUUUUCUCCCUACUGCGUUAGAACGAAAUAGAACUGAAUUGAGGAAACCUUAGGGCUGCGGGUAACCGAACGACAGCCAUGGUCACUGGCAUCUGGUCUUGCUGUGCUCAAGGCUCCAGAGGAGAAAGAUCUGCCCAGGGCCAGGAGGCACCACAGAAUUCCCUACCUGCUGGCAGGCUCACAUCUCUGCCGGCAAAAGCAGAGGUGAAAGUGCCUUCCGGUCUUCCCCUUCAAAGUGGUUCUCCUUCCCUUAAAGUCAUUUUUCAUUCCCCAAGCCAGUCCCAGGGGAGGGCAAAUGCUGAAAUUAUAAGGCAGCUUUCCUGGGAGGAGGAAGGAGAGGGGACCGGGAGGAAGAGAAGGAAGUUCUCUUGCCUUGGAGACCUGCAAAAAUGAGGGGCUAUUUGGGGGCACCUGUCCCUAGCGGUACCCAUCCUUCGGGAGAUGGCAGGGGAGGGAACCCUCCUCCCUUGCCAAAUUAUGCCAUUAGCUGACUUUUUGUAUACUCUUUUUAAAAAGACACAAACUAAAUAUAGUCUUAAGUAUUUUCCUAUUUCUAGCUUUUAGCAAGAAACCCCCAAGUUUAGGAGACUUUGGGCGCAGCAAUCAACCCCAAUGAAUUUUAUGAAAAUGUGAUUUUUUUUUUUCCUGAAAUGUCUAGACCUUUCUGUAUCAGAAAGGAGGGGUUAUCACCAGCCUCCUCUGGAUAGUCUAAGUCAUUUCAAGGACACACUUAAAACAAGGCGGCGUAUCUUCCCCAGUCCUCCUCACUACUCAGCCUCGGGAGAAAGGACGCCCUGCCUCCAAAGAUGGGGUGGUCUUAGGGCUUUAAAGAAUCAGACCUUGACUUGGGUGAGGGCACCUGGACAAAGUGAGGUCACUUAGCUCUUGUUCGAGUUCCCAACCAGGGGGACGCCAGCCUGUCAUCUGGCCUUUCAGGCUCUUGUUUAUUUUCCUUAUAAUUGGGAUAGCAUUUGGCUUGUCACUGGGUAUUUGGGAUGCUCCAAGGGAGACAAAGUCAGAGACGCACAAAUCAUCACCUUAAUAAUUGGCAUGAUGUUCUAGGAUCUCUGCAUUUCUUCCUUUACAGAAUAUUUCUAGGGAGAAAAGUCCAUUCAUAAACCUUUGAAAAUUAAUUUUAAUGGGUCUCUUAACUGUCUCUAAGAUUUGAGUAUCUUUCUCUCAAGAAGGUCACUGUAGGAGGCUGAUUAAAAACAGAACAUAGUUCCGUUUCCUGUGUGUUAUCAAUUGAUUAAACUUGUCAACACCAUCCAGGAAUAGCCUCAACUAAGAGUCUGUUACUGGAGAGGCCACUCAUACGGAAUUAGAUGCACUCGGGUCUGUGUCACACUGCCGCAUCACCUAUUCUGGGGGUGAAAAUACAUAAGAAUUCCAGCUUUGUGACUUUAAGUGCUUUUCAAACACCUGCAGUAAAUUUAUCAGCUCUUUGGGCAUUUUCCUAAAUUCAGUAAUUCAAGCUGGAUCUGGCAUAAUAAAACCAAGUAGUUCUCAGUUCAUAGGUAAGACACAGUAUCAGGGGAGGCAAGGAAAACUUACUCUCCCAGGGUCACAGCAAAUAACUGCAUUACAUUUGAACUACCGAUUUUGAUCAUGACGUUCCCAUGCUUGGUGGCAUUACGGUGAAUUUCUCAAAAAAUGUUCGCGGUAACUGAAAACAUAAUGCACCUGACAUCAAGCUGCCUGGGGGGAGGGAGGCAUGGGUGUCACAGAAUCAAGCAGUGGAAUGUCACCAGCCCAAAGCACUGAAGGCCAUGAAACUGAGCUGACCACCGUCCCCGGGGGGAGUCCCGGAAAAUCUAGAGAGCCGCUCACUCUCACAGCCGAGGCGCGGGGCCACUGACAGAACUUCCUCCGGGCCAGGCAGCUGCAAGGCCACCGGGGCCCGCAGGCGGCACGGGAGCCAAGGGCGGCCCGCGCUGUCCUGUCCCAGCUCCCGCCUGGAGAACCCGCUCACCUUUCGAGUUAACCUCCUCUUGAUUUCUCUUUUCUCCUCUUGUUCCUCCUGUUCAUUCCGAGCUGCAAGAAACAUUGACCAUGCUUUGGUUUUGGGAACAGUGUCACACGCCAAGUGUACCCUCUGAACCUCUGCAGGCUCCAGGCCAAGCCCCUCACGACCUGAACAAGGGGAGAGCGAGCUCCUGUCCCCCCCCCACCCCACCGCGGCCACCCUCCUGCCUAUGGGGCGCUUUCCAAACUGCCUGCCUUGUUUCAAAUUGAUGGUGAGCUGGCUGACCUUACUGUGUUUUCCGUGUGUGUCACAGGUUUUCAAGUCUCCAGGCAGAAAUGCCGGGCUGAGAAGUAUGGCUCUAAGGCAGGGAGGUAGGUCCUAACAGGAUGAGGGUGCUGUUAGCAAGGACAUGGGCCUCUGGAGGGAGGCGAGGCUCCCUUCUUUGGACAAGACUCAGGCCGGCUCAACUCUGCCUUGGGCCUCACAGUGACUGACGGGGGCUCACUGUGAUGUGGCCUCAUGUCUGGUGCUCUGUGGGGACAGAACAGAAGACCAGCCUGUGGGGGUGCCUGCCACCGGCUGCAGAAAAGAAACCAGGCACGGCUGAGGCCGAAUGCAGCACUGGGCACGCGGAGAGGGAUUUCAAAACGCUCACCUUUCGCAAGCCCUGAUUCCAUUAAUUCUUUGAAUCUUCCCAGAAGUCCACAGAGCAGGCAACUUUCUCUUGGAUAAAAACCCAUGAAACCAGUCAGCCAUCAACAUCUUAGUACGAACUAAUCUAUCAGAGAGAAACUGGAAGGCAGAAAGCAAGAAGAAGGGAGACCCCUGGCAAGCUGCAUUUGCAGGUGGCUGGAGUACAGAAGGGGAGGUCUGGUCUGGAGAGUGAGUACCCAGGAGGCACCUCAAGGGAACUUAGUUAAAAUGUACAGGCUCACAGGAAAGUAUGGCCACGAGGGGCCCAAGAGACCACCAAGUCUAACACUCUUAUUCUGGAAAUAAGGAUGCGAAAGCCCAGGGAGUUAAGUGGCUACUCCCACGCCACGCAGCUAGUUAGACAAACAGUCCAGCUUUUUUUUUUUUUUUUU